rnacentral:lncRNA from 1 species
AAGGAUUGCUGGGGCUGAAUUUGGGCUGAAUUUAAUAGCAACUUACUAACUGGUAAUUAUUUGUCUGCCUUUAACAGGAACUCGGUAAUGAGAGAGGUUAUCAUCCAGGAGUUACACUGAGUGUGUUCUUAAACCCUGCGAUGGGAAGACACUGUGCUAUGAGCAAAGUGACAGUGGCUUUGAUGUUCCUCCCCAGGAGAGCAGUGAUGCUGUUUGGGACAGCACAAAUACAGAAAACUUAAAGAGCUCCACGUAUCCACACUUGUACCUCUACGGUUUUACAUGCGCUCUUGGCCGUCGCCCGGUGUUGGAUGCAACUGGAUACUUCACGUCUAAGGAGAUGGAGAAAUAAAUUGCAUUGCUCUCCCUGCAAGUCUGAUCAAGCUCCGAAAGUUCCUUUUCAGAUUCCCACUUUCUAAUAACAGUAGAAAUGUUGCAGUGGACGUGCUCCUAGUCUCCUUUCUCCAACCCCAAAGCAAGAAAAUCUCAC